AUUGAACGCUGGCGGCAGGCCUAACACAUGCAAGUCGAGCGGAGCGGCGGACGGGUGAGGAAUGCCUAGGAAUCUGCCUGGUAGUGGGGGAUAACGUCCGGAAACGGGCGCUAAUACCGCAUACUAUCAGAUGAGCCUAGGUCGGAUUAGCUAGUUGGUGGGGUAAAGGCCUACAAAGGCGACGAUCCGUAACUGGGCUGAGAGGAUGAUCAGUCAAACUGGAACGGGGACACGGUCCAGACGCCAACGGGAGCAAGCAGUGGGGAAUAUUGGACAAUGGGCGAAAGCCUGAUCCAGCCAUGCGGCGUGGUUGAAGAAGGUCUUCGGAUUGUAAAGCCCGUUAAGUUGGGAGGCGUUACCAACAUAAUAAGCACCGGCUAACUUCGUGCCAGCCGCCGCGGUAAUUC
rnacentral:rRNA from 1 species